GUGGAAAAAUGCACACCUGUUCCCUAUACAGCUCGAAAGUCAUUGCUCUGGAAAAAGAAUGUGGAAAUUUAGGGUCCAAUGUGAUGUUUUCCCCCAUCAGGCCAAUCGAUGUCUAUAAAUACGGCCAUCCGGCAAGCGCAGCAGGAUAUACAAAGCUGAAAACUCAUCACAAUUCAGAGAGUGGAAUCUAGUAAGCUGAACAGACUGAGCUCUGAUGGGGUCCUUCGCGAGAGCUGGCCGUUUCCUGGUACUCCUCCAGAUCGCCCUGUUCCUCGUCUUCUCCGCGGUGAUCAUGAGCGGCUCCGCGGCAGCGGCCCGGGACAUCAGUGCUGGCGGUGGUGCCCUGAACCCUAACCGUCCUGGGUGCAUUGGCGGAUCGUGCCCGUCACCUGGUAGACCCUACACUCGACCCUGCACGUACAAGUUCUGCCCACCACCGGCUGGUGGUCAACCCUAAUACCUGCAGACCCCCUCUCACGAAUAAUGGAAGGGUAUAUGCUCAGCUGAUGCAUGCCUCAAUGCCGCUACAACUGCAUGUGCCCACCAGCUGAUGCUGCCACCACCUUAUACUGAACCGAUGAUAGUACUAUCGACUCUACGUGUACUUACAGCUUUAAUACUCCGAAUAAAACUAUAUGGUUGGCACUGAUACGAAUAAUGGUUGUGUGAUCGGUUCAAAAUCAACAAAAAUGAGACAGUGAUGACUGCGUGCAA